rnacentral:rRNA from 1 species
GUGAGGAAUAUUGGACAAUGGGCGCAAGCCUGAUCCAGCCAUGCCGCGUGCAGGAAGACGCAUCUAUGGUGUGUAAACUGCUUUUGUACGGGAAGAAACACUCCCUCGUGAGGGAGCUUGACGGUACCGUAAGAAUAAGGAUCGGCUAACUCCGUGCCAGCAGCCGCGGUAAUACGGAGGAUCCAAGCGUUAUCCGGAAUCAUUGGGUUUAAAGGGUCCGUAGGCGGUUUAAUAAGUCAGUGGUGAAAGCCCAUCGCUCAACGAUGGAACGGCCAUUGAUACUGUUAGACUUGAAUUACAAGGAAGUAACUAGAAUAUGUAGUGUAGCGGUGAAAUGCUUAGAUAUUACAUGGAAUACCAAUUGCGAAGGCAGGUUACUACUUGUGGAUUGACGCUGAUGGACGAAAGCGUGGGGAGCGAACAGGAUUAGAUACCCUGGUAGUUC